AGAUGCGUGUCACCCAAAUCCUCGCUGCACUUUUUGUCUUACUUAUAAUGACAGAAGUGGGAGACUGUAAAGUGUCCAAGAGAAAUAGUUGGUGGAGUAAGCGAUCACUCUUCCUCCCCUCCUCUUCCUCCUCCUCCUCCUCCUCCUUCUCGUCCUCCCCCGUGUUGGAAGAAGGAAGAGAGGAAGGAAGAAUGGUUGAGGGAAGAGGAUUCCCCCUCCCCCCAGGAUCUUCCCAGACCCAACCCUGGAGACUCUGGACCAAUCAGCGGGCGAAGCUACACCACUGGACCAAUCAGCAAUCGAGGAGGCCGGGACGUCACUCCUUUCUCAGUGUCGCCCAAUUUCCCGCCCAAUUUCCAGCCCAAUCCCGCCCAAUCUUGCCAUAUUCCUUUGUGCCAAUUCUCGUUCACUUAAAUCCACUUAACACACUUAUGGGGCAUUGUAAGUGUGUUUAGAAGUGAGGAGGAGGUGUAAGUAGUGUUUGUUUACCUAUUUAUUUCGUUAUUUGUUUGUUUUUCUGUUUGUUUUGGUGUUUUUUUGUUUAUUUUUUGUUUGUUUUCUUAUUUGUUGUGAUUUGUUUGUUUGUUUACUUGUUUGUUUACUUAUUUGUUUUUUGUCUGAUUUUUUUAUUUGUUUUUUUUUAAGUAUUGUUAGGAUGUAAACAAUGCCACGUGACUUCAGAAAUGUAAACAAUGCCACGUGACUUCAAAUGUAAACAAUGCCACGUGACUUCAUAUGUAAACAAUGCCACGUGACUUCAGAUGUAAACAAUGCCACGUGACUUCAGAUGUAAACAAUGCCACGUGACUUCAGAAAUGUAAACAAUACCACGUGACUUCAAAUGUAAACAAUGCCACGUGACCUGACAAAUGUAAACAAACUGAUGUAAACAAACCUACUUGCGUUACUCACGAGAUGUAAACAACAGCAGACAAGUGAAAACAAACAAAU